CUUGCAGUGUAAGUGUAUCCCAUGCAAUAUUUGGGACAUACUUAUACUAAAA
rnacentral:pre_miRNA from 1 species